rnacentral:rRNA from 1 species
UACGAAGGGGGCAAGCGUUGUUCGGAAUUACUGGGCGUAAAGGGCGCGUAGGCGGCUUAUCAAGUCAGGCGUGAAAUUCCCGGGCUCAACCUGGGGGCUGCGCUUGAUACUGAUUGGCUUGAAUGCGGGAGAGGAUAGUGGAAUUCCCAGUGUAGAGGUGAAAUUCGUAGAUAUCGGGAGGAACACCUGUGGCGAAAGCGGCGCACUGGACCACAACUGACACUGAGGCGCGAAAGCUAGGGGAGCAAACAGG